UACAGAGGAUGCAAGCGUUAUCCGGAAUGAUUGGGCGUAAAGCGUCUGUAGGUGGCUUUUUAAGUCCGCCGUCAAAUCCCAGGGCUCAACUCUGGACAGGCGGUGGAAACUACCAAGCUGGAGUACGGUAGGGGCAGGAGGGAAUUUCCGGGAUCGGAGGCGGUGGAAAUGACGCAGAGAUCGGAAAGAACACCAACGGCGAAAGCACUCUGCUGGGCCGACACUGACACUGAGAGACGAAAGCUAGGGGGAGCGAAUGGG
rnacentral:rRNA from 1 species